rnacentral:snRNA from 1 species
CGGCUCACUUCGGCAUCACAUAUACUAAAAUCGAAAUGACAGAGAAGAUUAGCAUGGCCCCUGCGCAAGCAUGACACGCAAAUUUGUGAUGCGUUCCAUAUAUUG